rnacentral:rRNA from 1 species
AUCUUCCGCAAUGGGCGAAAGCCUGACGGAGCAACGCCGCGUGAGUGAUGAAGGGUUUCUGCUCGUAAAACUCUGUUAUUAGGGAAGAACAAAUGUGUAAGUAACUGUGCACAUCUUGACGGUACCUAAUCAGAAAGCCACGGCUAACUACGUGCCAGCAGCCGCGGUAAUACGUAGGGGGCAAGCGUUAUCCGGAAUUAUUGGGCGUAAAGCGCGCGUAGGAGGUUUCUUAAGUCUGAUGUGAAAGCCCAAGGCUCAACCGUGGAAGGUCAUCGGAAACUGGGAAACUUGAGUACAGAAGAGGAAAGUGGAAUUCCAUGUGUAGCGGUGAAAUGCGCAGAGAUAUGGAGGAACACCAGUGGCGAAGGCGACUUUCUGGUCUGUAACUGACGCUAAUGUGCGAAAGCGUGGGGAUCAAACA